CCUGAAAGACAAGAAGAAGAAAUUACUUGGGCUUCUGCUUCACAUCAAAUUUGGAGGUUUUUCUUUUCCCCCAGCAGUGACAACGUAGUCAAGAUGCUGGCAGCUUCAUACUGGAGAGUGAAUAUUUCCCUGAGAUCAGUUUCUUGUUUGCAACAGAAGCCAGAUGAAGGCGUGCUGCACCUACCUUUCAACUCGGUCAUCAUACUUACAUUGACAUGGGGAACUGUAAAAUGCUGAGUGAAGAGCUGCCAGAAAUGUAGAAGCCAGAAUAACCAGUGGGAGAAAUCUUUCUAAUGGAAGUUUCUUUCAUUGCCUGUCAGCUUUUACCUUCUCUUCGAGAAACCUCCUCUCCAGUUGCACAACCUCUUCCUGAUGUUUCCUGUUUGAGAUCUUGAUGCUCUUCUUCAACUGUGAUAAAAAAAAUAAACUGUGUUUUAAUUUA